CAGCACCUCAAGGGGUCAGGAUGAUUAUUGGGCCUAAAGCAUCCGUAGCCUGCUUUGUUAGUUUUCGGUUAAAUCCAUACGCUCAACGUAUGGGCUGCCGGGAAUACUGCAAAGCUAGGGAGUGGGAGAGGUAGACGGUACUCGGUAGGAAGGGGUAAAAUCCUUUGAUCUAUUGAUGACCACCUGUGGCGAAGGCGGUCUACCAGAACACGUCCGACGGUGAGGGAUGAAAGCUGGGGGAGCAAACCGGAUUAGAUACCCGAGUAGUCC
rnacentral:rRNA from 1 species